GUUUGAUCAUGGCUCAGGACGAACGCUGGCGGCGUGCUUAACACAUGCAAGUCGAGCGGUAAGGCUCCUUCGGGAGUACACGAGCGGCGAACGGGUGAGUAACACGUGAGCAAUCUGCCCUUCACACUGGGAUAACCCUCGGAAACGAGAGCUAAUACCAGAUAUGACCACUUCGGGCAUCCGAUGGUGGUGGAAAGUUCCGGCGGUGAAGGAUGAGCUCGCGGCCUAUCAGCUUGUUGGUGAGGUAAUGGCUCACCAAGGCUUCGACGGGUAGCCGGCCUGAGAGGGUGUCCGGCCACACUGGGAC
rnacentral:rRNA from 1 species